rnacentral:lncRNA from 1 species
AAAUGUAGCCAAGACCUCCACGUAAAACGAAACUGCACACAUCAGCCUCAGUCAUGGGUUUAAUGAUGCUCUUCCAUACAAAAGAUUGCUUGUUUAUCCUCCUUGAUGCGUGCUUUGACAAAACUUCUACCACAGACAUGCCAAUGAAGGUUUGCAGCUGCGAAGUAAUUGUUCUGAAGAAAACCUUAUCGGGGUUUUUCUCAAGUUCAGCAUAUUCAGGAGUGCCUUUCUCAGGCAUGAGCCUACGACUUAGUGUUGGACGGUUUAGGGAGUAGCCUGCAUAGGCGAAUUGUCCGAAGGUGACAGCUGCAUGGGGAGCAGAAGCAAUCCAUAUGAUAAUGGUGCAAGAUUCUAUCAGCUCUUCACGAGUUUGCAUUUUAGGCCACCAUGGCUAAUCUUUCUUGUAACCAUGACCCACCUCUCGGAGUUCCUUCCACUAGGCUUGAACCUCAGGGUCCUGUUGAACCAUUCCAUCCGUCUUAUAGUAGAAGGAGCAAUAGUCUUUCACCCAUUUUUCAAUGGCAAACCAGAUUUUCAACCCAUCAACAGCAUAUGGAUAGUCUUUUAUCAGUAGUCGAAGACCAUGUAGGGAAUUUGCAUCAUCAACUGCAAUUCCUCUGAAUAUAUAUAGAGAAUAGAAGACGAUUGAUGUCAUUUCCAUUAAAGCAUAUUAUAUAUAUAGAGAGAGGAUUCAAUUCAUUUGUCAUUAAGACUCUGAUUACCUUUUCUUGAGAUCACUGGGGAGUGCUUGGUCAAAGAAAUUCCAACUCUUAUAGAUUUCUGAUGACAUCUCCAUGGAAUAUUUUCCCGAGCAAAAUGUUAUCUUUAUUACUCCACCUGCAUUCACAAGAAGUUCCCUGGCCAAUGCAUUAAUAGUCAUGGUGUCACGAAAGUGAGGGUGGAGAAGCUUAUAAAUUAGAUGAACCACACUCAACUGCUUGUUUGUUGCAAUCACGAAUGGCUCUAAAACUGCAUGAGUGUUCAACCUACAGAGACCAAAGUAGUCAAAGACACACAAAUUAACUACAAACUGAUUACUAAUUUUGCUAAUAUAUAAAAAAAACCUAAGCCUAUAUUGACAGGUUUUUACCAAUGGCUUAUCAACUGAUGAUGAGCACAAUCGUUGAUAGCUACAAAAGCUUUAGCAAAUUGCCAAAUAGAACCCUCAACUCCAUGUUCCAUUGGAGUAUACACCUUGCUAACAACACCAAAUUUAUCCCCUGUUGGAUGUGGCAAGCUCAAUUCAAUUGCUGAUUCUUAUAUUCAUAGUCGGUGUGGAAGUGGAUCCAUAAAUUCUUAAAACCGAAACUUCAUUCACUCUUUCACCUUCAAAAUUUCAAACAAUUGAAUUUAAUAAUAAACUCAAAAUUCAUAAACAUUUCGGCUUCACUACAACUAAAGAGUAGCUAAUCAAACGUUUCAGAAUUUACUCAACAAUAAAGAGACUAUUAAAAAUCCGAAAAAAAAAAUAAAAAAGAAGUCGUACCUUGAAAGCUACUAUAGCAAGUAUCGUAGCCGGAGAUGGGCAGUGCCAUGUAAUGAUCGAUGGACACGAUUCGAACGCUGAAAUCGUUCGAAUCCGGCUGCGAAUUCGACAUUUAAAUUUCUUUUUAUUCACAAAAAAACCGAAUUGAGAUCAAGAUUGAAAGAUUUCUUUUCUUUUUCCUUUUUUGAAUUUCUUUUCCGCAAAAUUUGAAUAGAGAAGUUGCAGUGGAAUAAAAUUUUUUUACUUGGUGCCAGUUUUUCUUUUGUGGGGGGUUUUAUAGAACAGGAGAAACUUUCAUUAGCUUCUCGGGUACUGCAACGAAUUAGAUUCAAGUCCUUGUACUUUCACUAAUUUACACUUUGACCUUAUAUUUUAAAAUUAUGAAAUUCUGAAUUUUUCUUGUGUAACGUCGUACUCUUUCCAUCUCUAAACAUUUGUUUUUUCUUAAUUUAUAAAAAUUAAAUAAAAAAUUUGAUUUUAAUAUAUUUUGUAUUAAAAUUUGAAAAAUUUUUAUAAUAUAUAAAUAUCAUACUAUAAAAAAUUGUGAAAAAUGAACAAAAAAUGAAAAAAAAAGAGACAAAGAAAUAUAUUUGUACCCUAUAACUUUUCUCUUUGUGAAAAAUGGGUUUUGGGUUUUUGUUCUUUCCGAUUUUGUCACUAUGUAUAAAGUCUAAAGUAUCUCUCAAAACAUUAGAAUUGUAAAAGAUCUAAAUGCUCAUUAAUAACAUUUAGCUUGCUUAAACAUUUAAUUUAUCAAUGUUAUUGAUUAAUGAUGGAUUUAAUUAAGCAUAACUAAAUUUCAAAUUAAUCAAAAGUCCAAUUAGAAAGAUUGACACACGCACAAAACUUACAAUAAUCAUAAAUCAUAAUCUCAUUAAAUAAAUACACAUUUACUCAUUGAAUAGUGACGGAGAAAAGAGGUCUUUGACUCUGCCAAUAUUUUUAAAGAAAACACAAUACACUCCCAUUGCAAAUUUUGUUGAUGAGUUGCAAUGAUAGCAACCUUUAUUUUCUUUUAGGACGAGGACAGCUAUAAACUAGAACCUAUGGAUACCACCACUUUUACCAUUUGGGCUAAGCCCAAGUAGCAAUACCAAUAUUUGUUUUCAUAGAUUUUGCAAAGAAGCUCUUUAGAUUGAGACACUGUUGGGAAUUCCCUUGCCAGUGACUCCACUUUCACUGGUAGGGAACAGUAGAGUGUAUGGCACAUUGACUGGGCCAGAACGAUUCUUCAAUGUCUUAUCAUGGUUCAUCUGAAUAAUCCUUUGCUCAAUCUGUGAAAGCUUGUUUCCGAAAUCAUUGAAAGCUUUCAAUGGUGCUGCAUCAGUUGUCCAUUUAUCAGGGUCGCUUCUUUGUCCGAGGUACACCUCGUCUGGAGAAUGCUUGGACAGGAUUUCUAUCAGGGAAACGCCGAGGAGAGUCAUCAGCUGGGAAGUAACUAUUUUCAGGAAAACCCUUUCGAAGUUGGUUUCGAGCUCAGCAUAUUCAGGACUGCCUUUUUCAGGCAUGAACAUACGGCUGAUGGUAGGGCGGUUUGGAAGGUAGCCCGCGUAAGGGUAUUGCCCAAAGUUGACAGCUGCAUGGAGAGCAGAAGCAACCCAUAUUAUAAUGGUGCAGGAAUGAAUCAGCUCUUCGAGAGUCUGCAUGCUAGGCCACCAUGGCUCAUCUUUCUUGUCACCAUGACCUCUCUCUCGAAGUUCUUUCCACCAGGCUUGAAGUUCAGGGUCUUGUUGAACCAUUGCAUCAGACUUGUAGUAGAAGGAGCAAUAGUCUCUGACCCAUUUUUCAAUUGCAAACCAGAUCUCUAGCCCGUCAACAGCAUAAGGAUAGUCUUUUAUCAGUAGGCGAAGACCACGUGGUGAAUUCUUGUCAUCAACAGCAAUUCCUCUGGAUAGAGAAGCAUGGAAAUUAAGCUAUCAGUCCACUAAUUAUCGAUGAACAUUUCCUUUUCACCACUUUGGAGCUAUAAGAUUUUACCUCUUCUUGAGAUCAACGGGGAGAGCCUGCUCAAGGAAAUUCCAACUCUUGUAAAUUGCAGAUGACAUCUCCAUGGCAUAUUUUCCAGGGAAAACCGUCAACUCUAGAAUGUCAUUUGCAUUAAUCAAAGUUUGCCUAGCCAAUGCAUUUAUAUUCAUUGUGUCACGGAAAUGAGGUUGGAGAAGCUUAUAAAUUGGAUGAACCACGCUUAGCUGCCUGUUUGUUGCAAUCACAAAUGGCUCAAUCACUGCAUGAGUGUUCAACCUGUGACCAAAACCCGAAGGCAUUAAAAACCCCUCUGUUCAACUUAAAAACUUACCCUUCAUUGACAGAUUCCAUACCAGUGGCUUAUAAGCUGAUGAUAACCAGAGUCAUUCACAGCCACAUAAGCUUUAGCCAAUUGCCAUAUGCUACCCUCAACUCCCUCUUCUGCCGGCGUGUACACCUUGCUGACACAACCAUAUAUAUCAGCCUCUGGAUGUGGAUAACUUAAUUCGAUUGCUAAUGGCUUCAAAGUCCCAUCAGCAGUCAAAAAGAGAAGUGUCCUGGACGCAUAAGUUUUUGUAGUGGUAGUGUUUAUCCUCCUCAGGUAUGGCAUCAACGAAUCAUGAUGAUCCAAUAUGAAUAGCUUGUUGCCCAUUAAUGCCUGUGAAUCAAACCCCCUUUCAGUUUCAUGAUUUAUGGUGUGAUAAAAAAAUCAGAUGUGAAGCAUAUUACCUGUUCUAUAGUGUAUCCACCCAGGUUACACUCUAUGUGUUCUUUCCUUAUGAGACUGUUUUGGUUACCGUAUAUUUUAGGAUCUAGCUUGCUUUUGGGAGGAAAUUCCUGCAAAUCGAUUCAGGGUCGGUUACAAAACUUCUUCACCAUUGAGAAAAGACAGGAAAAUUAGAAAGAAAAUGACUCUAAAGUUUUCAGGCUUAAGCUUACUUCAAGACGACGAAUAACAACAGGGUUCACUCCAGCAAGCAUUUCUCUAGCGAAUUCUGCAUCUGUUCGCCAUGCACUUUUACUGUCUGCUCAUUGAUUGAAAUUGCAAAGUAAAUUAAUGGCUAGGCGAAAUAGUAUUGCUAAUUAAUUAAACACAUCUCUUCAACCGUUUAUGACUUGACAGAUGAUUUUAUCAAAUCUGACGUGCAACGAAACCAAGAUAUGAUGCAUUCAAAUAGUUACUAUACGUUCUAUACCUUGAAUAACUUGAGGCACAGGAUAAUCGAGUAGUUGCUUUAGCUUCUCGUUGGGGAUCAGGUUUCUGAUAUCACCUCCAUAGUAGAGUACUCUCAGAACUUCAUUAAAAGAGUCGAACUCUUUUGGUGGAUUGCCACAAAAAGCUUCGAAAAUUGGAAAGAUAUUUUGAGGUAAGGCACUGAGUCCAUUGCCGACAAAGUCUAACAACUUCACGUGACCAAAUUUGUCAUCUCUCGGAACGUAAAUGAACAAGCUCAUUGGGAGUGGCAGCCUGCUCUCGCAACUAUUAUCUGAUAAGAAACAGAAACAUUAUCAGAUCAUACUCAAGAUAAAGAAAACACCCCAUAACUCAUCCGAAAUGUAAAUCUCUAACCUGUUUUGGUCGGUGGUCUGCCUGUUCUUCCCCUACGGGGAUAAGGAUACUCGCUACUCCCUCCAAGAGUCUGGCGUUGAUAAUCUGGACCCUUAUCAGGAUCCCCCAAAUCAUUGUACAAAGCAUAGUCAUAGACGCGGUCCCAUUCUUUGAGCUCUCCUUCACCAUUUCCUCUCAAGACCCUUAGCUCUUCCUCUCUGUACUUACGAAGUGGUCCUGGCAUUUCAUUCGGAAGAUACGUCUGCACAAAUAUAAUACCAAAAACACUUUAUAUUUCACUCUAUCUAAUGGAAACAUUAGUAACGUAAUCUUGAUCACGGCAGAAUUACUUGCCUUGUUAGCGAAGAAAACGCGAUCGCUUUGGUAUUUUUCGUCAGGGUAGACCCAAGAGUUACAAACAAAGUGGAUUGGACCUCGACCAGGAACAUCGUCGAGUGUGACGGUCUUGAGGUAGAAUUCACCAUGGUGAGCAUUUCGUACUAAGAUAGCUCCCGGGGUGCCGAGGUCCUCAUCCCAAGCAAAGCUAACGGUGAACUUACAGUCCCCUAAUACCGGUGUAAAAUUCCAGUUCUGUAAAUAAGCCGGAGCUCCCAUCUUUCCUCCCAACAUAUUUGCUACAAAUUAAGGCACAUCGGCAAAAUAUGUCAAAAGCACUCUCAAAAACAUAAUUUGAUUGAUUAUUAACAAUGAUUAUAUAAAUAUCGAUUCGAGUUUAUUGUAUGAAUCAGUGCAACAUUAUAGUUAAAUAAAUAAAAUUAAAUUACCAUACAGUUAGGAUGUUGUUAAAUUUAUAAUAUUUAUUAAUUUGAUUUUUUUUUAAAUUAUUGAGAAUCUCUAUUAAGUUAAAUUUUUAUUUGAUUUUAACCGAUAAAAAAAGUUAUUCAUAAUUUGAUUUAAUAACCGUAUAAUAUUUUCUUUGUCUUUUACAUUUUUUUUGUCGAGUUAAAAAAUAAAAAAUAAAAAACAUUUUGGGAUGGAAGCAAAUAAUUGAAUAUUUUUAUCCAAAUAUUUUUUGUCCCAUUAGUAUAAAUUAAAUUACAUCUAUAAAAUUACAAAAUAAUUUAGAGUAAAGACAAAUAUGCAUCAUCUUAUCAAGACAAGAGAAUGAAGAUGAUGUCUGGGUGUACAUGCUUUUCUUAAGCACGUGCUGUCAAGCUUUGGUCUGACAGCUGGCUUUCCAAUUACCAACAUCCAAGGUUGCCAUCUUAAUUAAAUUAACUAAACUCUUGCAACUAACUUUUAAAAUAUCACAUGAAAUUAUUAAAUCUCAAAAGUUUUAUAAUAAAACUCAAAUUUUUUAAUUUUUAUACUUUUAACAAAGUUAUAUAUAUAUAUAUAUGUAUGUAUAUAACAAAGUAAUAAAUCAGUAAAAAAUAAUUAGUUAAAAUUUUCAAUAAUCGUCAAUAAUUAGUAUGGUAAAGUUCAUGAUUAUAUAAAAACUUGUAAGUUUUAUUAUUUUUGUUUGAAAUAAUUAAGAAAAAAUAAUAUGAAAUCUCAUGCGAUUAUAUGCUAAAUUAGGGCUAUAAUAUGUAAAUUAUAUAUAUUAUGAAUUUAAGCAUUUGCUUAAAUUAAACAUAUGUACAAAAAGAACUUUGAAAGAAAGUUAAAGAAUAUAUAAAUAUAUUCUCUCUAUCUAUAUGUAUAUAUAGAUAUAUAUGUAUAUACAAAGAAUAUAUACAAAAUUAUAUAUAUAUAUAUAUAUGUAUGUAUAUAACAAAGUAAUAAAUCANUUAUAUUCAGUUUAAAUUUUUUCUUUUUGUUGUCUACAUUAAUUGAUGCAUUUUUAUUGUUAUAACCCUCAAUCAUUUUUUUAAUCGUUUUCAUUAUCUUUUGAAAUUAUUUCAAUACAUAAAAUAGAAAACAAACAUAUGUACUUAUACAUAUAUGUAUAUGUGUGUGUGUGUAUAUAUAUAUUCAUGUGUGAUUUAUCUCUCAUGAUCAAUUUUAUUCUCAAACAACAUGCUCACAUUUAUUCUUGUCUUUUCUUCAAAAAUUAUUACUCAAAUUCUAGCAUGAUCUCAAACUCAACACUCCUCGCAUAUUGUAAAGUAUGUUGAUUUUCACGUGCUCAGUAAUGUUAUUUACACUUUUUCUUCACCUUUUACAAGUUCAAUGUUUUGUUUAAAUUAUUAAGCUUAUCUAAUUUUGUUCUCAUUUUAUUACUUUGUUUGCAAUUUAUGCUUUUAGUGAAAUAUUCAUUUUUUUUCUAACGUUCUACUUAGGGUAAGAUUUUGUUUUGGUAUCUAUGCUUGCUUGUUGACAUGUUUAUUAUUUAUUAUUGGUACUUUUUAAUCAUCUUUCAAUAACAUCUUUCAAUAUCUUUUUUUUUUUUUUUUUUGAAUAAAAAAGUUUAUGCAUUUUUUUUAUAAAAAAAUGCACAUAUAAUCAUCGACGGAGCUAAGGUUGUGACGGUCACCAUCUCUCAAUUUUUAAUUUUUUUUAUUAUUAUGUAUAUAAAACUUGAGAUAUAUAAUAUGAUUAUUUUUAUAAUUAUUCUUUAAUCACUUCUCAUGUGAAAUCUUAAAUCCAUCACUGCAUACAAUAAGAUUCUAAAAAUUAUACUCGACGAAAGGUUAUCUUGUCCCUCUCAUCCAUAAAAUCUCAUAAUUUGGUUUCGAAUUUUGAAUUCGAAACUUAUAACAUGAAUUCUUUUAAGAUUGAUUGUAAAUCAUAUGUCAUGCAAGGAACUCAUCGAUUAAUUUUUAUUCAUCAAGUAAUUAAAUUGCGAUGAGACACCUCUAUCUAGUUUUUCACUAGUAGUUUUAGUGGAUUUUAAAUUUUAUCAACAAAGAAGUGAUAGAGCACCCAUUAUUUAAGGUUUAUUGGCUACCAAAAUAUUGAUUAUUCAUUCCGUGUCAAUCGUAUUUUAACACACUCUAUAUAUAUAUAAUUGAAAAGAAAAGCACUUAAAACAAAACGUCUUAAAAAAAAUAAAACACGUUACAAUAUAUUAGAAUACAUUCUUUGCAUAAAAAACAUAAGAGCUGGGACAUUCGGAUAGGACACAGAUAAUCACCAACGAAAGACAUAACACCGUAUAUGCCUGAUCACCAAAACACAUUGAAAAUGAUCCGAAGUAUUGCAUUACCCACCAUAUUUUUUUGGAUAUAAAAAAAAUCAAAAUUGGAAUUGGACCACUUUUAGUUUUAUUUUUCUAAAGUUUAUUUUUUUGGAUAACUCUUUUUUCUGUCCGCAAAUAAUGCAACAAAGUUUUGUUUUUUGGAAAGAUAAAUCAUAAAUUUUGUGUUUGUGUUCACAUAAAAUGUUGGACCACUUUAUUUUUGUCUGUUAUAUAUAUAAAAACAAAAAAGUAUAUAUAAAGACAACAUACAUAAAGAGUUAAAGACAGAGGAGAGGCAAUGCAUAUAUAAAAACAAAAAAGUAAAUGCCCUGAGAAGUUUUUGUCAAUAACCCCUCAAAUGAAGAAGUUUGGGACCAAUUUGGAUGCCAAUAUUUUUCAGUAUUUAUUACUAAAAAAAUUAGAGCAAAAAUGCACCAAAAAAAAUUCAUGUUGCAAAAGGGUAAAAUAUUAAGUUUUCUCCUAUUUUCUUUAUUGUAAUUAAGUAACAUAGUGAAAGACAUGAAAUAUUAAAAAUGGAAAUCAUGCCAUAAAUUGUAUAUUACUACUAAAUUAGUGUUAAUUUAAAAUGUUGGACUGUUAUUUUUUUUGGUUAAAUCAAAAGAAUAAAUCUGUCAUGCUGCCAAUACGUUAUUGUGUAGUGCUGAGCGAUACAGGCAUUUUCUUAUGUCAAUGAAAGUCUUUUGCCAUACACAUUAAAGAUUUUGUAUGAUAUUCUAACAUUGGAAAAAUAAAAAUAUGCUUUUUUUAAAAAAAAAAUAAAAUUCUAAGACUAAAUCAAAAUAAACCAGAAAUUCGUCUAAAAAACCAUAACAAAUAUUGGAUCGUUAUUUGUUCAUUAUAAAUUCAUAAUUAAGUUAUAUAAUCAAAUAUAUAAAAUUUUUCAAAUGAAGGCAAAAGUUAUAUAUCUAUCAAGACAGCGAAAAGAUAGCAAUAGAUUGGGCAAAUUUAUAUGUGUUGUUUGUGAAUCAUUUAAUAAAGAACAAGAGUAACCCAACACUAAUACUCAAAUAUUUAAUUCAUUGGUUGAUGCAUACUUCUUUUACCGAAAAAGUAGAGUUUGAAUUCUCUUCCUUCAAUUAUAAGAAAGAAAAACAUAAAUAAGCCAACACUAUUUAGGUGAGGCCGAUGGAGAUGAUUCUCUUAACAUUUUUUAGCAUUUAUUACCAAAAGAUUUUUAUUGUGGAUCUCUUUUUAUCACCACACCAUUUGUUAUUGUAUCAUUUCAGUCAUAAUCAAUUAUCUUUAAGAAUUUCCUUCUAUACUUACUUAAACUCAUUCUAACCAAAUAGACGAUUGGCUUACCUCAUAUCUAUCAUAAAUUAAGUUAUAUGAAAAAUUGUUCAGUGUUCACAUAAAAUAUUGGAUCCCUUUUUUAUUUAUCUUAAAUUAAAUAACACAACAAAAGAUAAACAUAUUUCUGAAAGAAAGACAGGAUUGGAUCAAACCUGUGUGUAACUCUGAAUCAAAAAACCCAACUUAGAUGAGAUGCUUGGGGACCAGCUUCGGACAUUUUCAAGGAUAUGGCAAAGAGCCACGUGAUGCAUGUGUUCUCUGACCAUAUUCUAGCAGUGUGAUCAAAAUUAAGCCAUUAAUUUUUCCUCUUAGUGCAGCAAUGGUCAAAAGAUAGUGAAGCCUCUCCCAUUCCUGAUCAGUGUUGUGGGUUAACUGUCAGAUAUGUUGUUGUAUUUAGAAGGUUAGGAAUUUUGCUUUUUAUUUUGUUUUGGGUCAUAAAGUCUCCCACUCUUGAUCCGGAAGACUUUCAUAUUUCUCUGCAAGUACUACUGGAACCUUGCUUUUUGUUAUUCUCUUUUGUGAGAAAUUAUGAAUAAUAAUAUUUUUAUCUUUCAAAAAAAAAAAAAUUCUGAUCAGUGUGGAAGGGAGGAUAAUUUUUGCAUGGCACGGAGAAUUUCUAACUUCGGUAUGGCAUAUGAAAUUGGGGUUCAAGACUGACAAUUGAGAGUGACUCCUCUUGAUAGUGUGAAGGAGACCAGCUCAAUUUCAAGCAAAUACUCCAAAAAAAUUUUCUCCUCAUUAAUUAUUUGCCGGUAGUCAAGUGUGUUGCACAUUCAAUCUGUCCAUAUGUAUAAGUCCAUGUCUCGAAUAAUUGUUGAAUUCAAUUUUUCAUAUGUGUAAGGAGAAAUCAAGAUAUCAAGAUGACUAGAUAAAUGGUGUGUAUUUAAUAAACGUGAUUGAUUUUUUGCAUAUUUUCAAAGAAUCAAUUAAUGUCUUCAUAAGUUUUUUAAUUAGAUGUCUAACUUUUGCAUGACAUAUGCAGUGGAAUUAAUUUCCAAGACUUUACAACAUGAUAGCGACUCCUCUUGGUAGUGUUAAGACCUACCAUAAAAUAUUGGAUCCUUUUUUUAUUUAUCAUAAAUUAAAUAACACAACAAAAGAUAAACAUAUUUCUGAAAAAAAGACAGGAUUGGAUCAACCUGUGUGUAACUGUGAAUCAAAAAACACAAUUUAGAUGAGAUGCUUGGGGACCAGCUUGGGACAUUUUCGAGGAUAUGGCAAAGAGCCACGUGAUGCAUGUGUUCUCUGACCAUUUUCUAGCAGUGUGAUCGAAAUUAAGCCUUCACUUUUUCCUCUUAGUGCAGCAAUGGUCAAAAGAUAGUGGAAGCCCCUCUCAUUCCUGAUUAGUGUCGUGGGUUAACUGUCAAAUAUGAUGUUGUAUUUAGAAGGUUAGGAAUUUUGCUUUUUAUUUUGUUUUGGGUCAUAAAGUCUCCAACUCUUGAUCUUGAAGACUUUCAUAUUUUUCUGCAAGUACUACUGGAACCUUAUUUUUUAUUAUUCUUUUUUGUGAGAAAUUAUGAAUAAUAAUAUUUUUAUCUUUCAAAAAAAAAUUCUGAUCAGUGUGGAAGAGAGGAUAAUUUUUGCAUGGCAUGGAGAAUUUCUAACUUUUGUAUGGCAUAUGAAAUUGGGGUUCAAGACUGACAAUUGAGAGCGACUCCUCUUGAUAGUGUGAAGGAGACCAGCUCAAUUUCAAGCAAAUACUCCAAAACAAUUUUCUCCUCAUUAAUUAUUUUUUUUUUCGGUAGUCAAGUGUGUUGCACAUUCAAUCUGUCCAUAUGUAUAAGUCCAUGUCUCGAAUAAUUGUUGAAUUCAAUUUUUCAUACGUGUAAGGAGAAAUCAAGAUAUCAAGAUGCCUAGAUAAAUGGUAUAUAUUUAAUAAAAGUGAUUGGUUUUUUGCAUAUUUUCAAAAAAUCAAUUAAUGUCUUCAUCAGUUUUUUAAUUAGAUGUCUAACUUUUGCAUGACAUAUGCAAUGGAAUUAAUUUCCAAGACUUUAAAACAUGAUAGUGACUCCUCUUGGUAGUGUUAAGACCUACUUAAUUACUACCACAAAUUUCUCCUAAAAUUUCACCCUAAUAAUGAAUAACAAGUCGACCGUCAUGUGUGUUGCACAUUGAAUUUGCCCAUAUAUAUAUUCACACACACACAUUCACGAUUAACUUAAAGAGUACUACAUUGAGUAUGAUCUUCCUCUACUUUUACCUUUUUUGUAAAACUUUUUGGGAGUAAGGAAGGCCUAGUUAACUUAGUCUUGCAUAAAUAUGCAAUAAAAGCUUGAAAUUGUUUUUCUUUUUACUGAUUAUCUGAAUUUAACCCCAGAUUUUUUUUUUUCAUUAGCUCAAGUUAAGAAAAGAUUUUAUUAAACUCAUGAAGAUUACAAAGAGGGCUAUCUAAAGAAACAUAGAGUAAAACGCAAGAAACAGAAUAGAAGAGCCUCAAUUAAAACAUCCUUACCCUGACUGUGCUAAGAGAUGGAAAACCCCAACACAAGACCAUAAACACAAUAACAGGAAAGCAAUAACAUCAAACUAACAUUAGGGCAAUAGGAUGUGUUGCAAUAAAAACAAAACUUAUUUAGUAUAAUGAUGGCCUAAACUUCACUUAAAUUGAGAUGCUAUUAAGAAUUCCCUUGCUAAAAAGUCCAACUUCACCACUUGGAUAGAGCAAAGUAUAUGGUUCAUUGACAGAACCAACAUGAUUCUUCAGUUUCUUGUCCUUGUUCAUCCUUACGAUUUCUUCUUCAAUUUGAGCAAGUCUCUUAUGAAAAGCCUCAAAAGCUACUACUAGUAUUGAGUCUGUUGUCCAGUUCCGGGUUUGUUGUCUAAGAUAUACCUUGUUGGGAGGUGGGCCUACCUUUUAAAAUAAAUAUUCCACUCCCUUUUUGAUUAACAAAGCUUGCCUUAUAAAUCCUCAUUCGUGCAUAUAAUGAUCUCUUCGCUCUCAUUGUUAGGGAGUGGCUACUAAAGUCCUCCACAAGAAAUUAUAAGUUCCAAAAACCUUUGAUGGCAUCUAAGAAUGAAGAGAAAAAAAGAUAAAAGAGUUUUUGAUUUUUCUAACUUACAAACAACUCACGUUCACUCUUGGUUGUGUGUAAAAAACCAAUAUGUCCAUUCACUAUUUAUAUAUGUGUUAGGGAUAUAAAGAUAGGAUAUUACUUUUAAAUUUAAAUGUAAUUAAUCUUUAUUUAAAUUUAAAUAUAAUGGAUAGAUAAUUUUUAUUUACAUUUAAACAAAUUAAAUUUAAAUUUAUAUCCUAUCUCAACCGUUUUUAUUUACUUAUUCAAUUACAUUAAAUAAAUUAUGACCAAAAUAUGCUUUCAAAAUAUACACAAAUUAAAAGGAUGAAAGCAAGUCAAAACUUACUCUGAUAUCACUAUUAGGAGGUGGGCUUACAAUUUCAGAUAAAUAUUUUACUCUCUUUUUUAUCGAAAGAAGUUUGUCUUACAAUCUUCUUUCGUAUAUACAAUAAUCUCUUCGCUCUCAUUAUUAUGGAGCAUCUACAAUUAAGAUGAUGAAAGCAAGCCAAAACCUACUUUGAUAACAUUGUUGGGAGAUGGGCUUAUUUUUUUAGAUAAAUAUUUCUCUCACUUUUUUAUAGAAAAAACUUGUCUUACAAAUCCUCUUUCGUACACAAAAUGAUCUCUUUGCUCUCAUUAUUAUAGAGCGGAUAUUAGAGUCCUCCAUAAGGAAUUAUAUGUUUCAAAACCCUUUGGCUUUUAAUGGUGCUUCAAGAAUGAAGAGAAAAAAUAGUAGUUUUUCUAACUUACACAACAAGUUCACUCUUGGUUGUGUAAAAAACCACUACAUCUAUUCACUAUUUAUAGACGUGCUAGGGAUAUGGAAAUAAGAUAUUAUUUUUAAAUUUAAACAAAUUAAAUUUAAACAUAAUUAAUCCUUAUUUAAAUUUAAACAAAUUAAAUUUAAAUAUAAUAGAUAGAUAAUUUUUACUUAAAUUUAAAUUUAUAUUCUAUCUCAAAUGUUUUUUUAAUUAUUUAAUUAAAAAUAUCAAAAGUAUUUAUUAAUUAAUAAAUUAAAUAUUUUAUUAAUUAUUNAUUAUAUAUAAUAUAUAAUAUUAUUUUUAAAUUUAAACAAAUUAAAUUUAAACAUAAUUAAUCCUUAUUUAAAUUUAAACAAAUUAAAUUUAAAUAUAACGAAUAGCUAAUUUGAAUUUAUAUCUUAUCUCAAAUAUUUAUUAUUAAUUAUUCAAUUAAAAAUAUCAAAAUAAUAUCUAACAUUAAUUAAUUAAAUAUUUAUUAAUUAUUCGCAAAUAAUAAACAAAGUCACAUGAUAUGUGCAUGCACUACAUUUAAAUGCAACGCCCCUCAUCUGAUGCGUGCCUUGAUAGAACUUCUACCACGGACAUGCCAAUGAAGGUUUGUAGCUGUGAAGUAAUUGUUCUAAAGAAAGCCUUCUAUCAACUGCAGUCGAAUUGAAGUCGUUGAAGUCCAAAACAUUCCUCCUUGUUAAAACAACAGUGCCUCUGAUCUUCUCGGGUUUCUUUUGCCCGGUAAGAUCAUCGACAACAUUGCUAGCAGCAUUGAUCACUCCUCCGAUUAACAUAUCUUUUUUAUUUUCCUUUGCUAGAGAGAAAACGAGGAAUGCUAUAUCUGGUGUUGGAUUUCGAUGUGCCCAAAAGGUUCUUCUUCACUACAACAACAUAGCCUUGAAUCUUCUUCCGCUUGACAGGGUUGUUCAAUGCCAUUGGGCCAAUUCCAAAAUUCAUCUUUUGGUUCUUUGGCUAGGGCAACCAAUAUGAAGGAUGAUAUGAAAAGUGCAUGAAUGUUGUAUUCGAGGGGUUGUUGGUUUUGUAAAGAAGAAGUGUGGGGUAUUUAUAGAGAAAGAUUGGUCUAUAAGCCAAGGUAUAUUGUUUUCAUUUUUUUCAAUUAAAAAGUUUACGUGUUUUUUCUUUAAAAAAAAAGACACAUAUAAUCAUCAACGGAGCCAAAAUAAUGACGGUCACCAUCUCUCAAUUUUUAAUUUUCUUCAUUAUUAUAUAUAAAACUUGAGAUAUAUAAUAAGAUGAUUCUUAUGAUUACUCUUUAAUCACUUCUCAUACAAAAUAUUAAAUCCAUCACUGCAUACUAUGAGAUUCAAAAAAUCAUGCUCGACGAGAGUUUAUCUUGUCCCUCUCAUCUCAUAAAAUCUCAUAAUUUUGUUUUCAAUUUUGAAUUUGAAACUUAUAACAUGAAUUCUUUUAAGAUUGAUUGUAAAUCAUAUGCCAUGGAAGGAACUCAUCGAUUAAUUUUUAUUCAUCAAGUAAAUUACAUUGCAAUGAGACACCUCUAUGUAGUUUUUCACUAGUAUUUUUAGUGGAUUUUAAAUUUUACCAACAAAGAAGUGAUAGAGCACCCAUUAUUUAAGGUUUAUUGGCUACCAAAAUAUUGAUUAUUCAUUAAUGAUUAUUCAUUACGUGUCAAUCAUAAUUCAGCACACCCUAUAUAUAUAAUUGAAAAGAAAAGCACUUAAAACAAAACGUCUUAAAAAAAAUAAAACACAUUACAAUAUAUUAGAAUACAUUCUUUGCAUAUAAAACAUAAGGGCUGUGACAUUCGGAUAGGACAUAAAUAAUCACCAACGAAAAAGACAUAACACCGUAUAUGCCUCAUCACCAAAACACAUUGAAAAUGAGCAGGAGUAUUGCAUCACCCACCACAGUUUUUGGGAUAUAAAAGAAAAUCAAAAUUGGAAUUGGACCACUUUUAGUUUUAUUUUUCUAAAGUUUAUUUUUUUGGAUAACUCUUUUUUCUGUACAUAAAUAAUGUAACAAAGUUUUGUUUUUUGGAAAGAUAAAUCAUCAAUAAUUAAGUUAUAUAACCAAAUAUAUAAAUUUUUUCAAAUAAAGAGGCAAAAGUUAUAUAUUUAUCAAGACAGUGAAGAGAUAGCAAUCGUUAUAUAUCUAUCAAGCAAGAUAGCGAAGAGAUAGCAACAGAUUGGGGAAAACCUAUAUGUGUUGUUUGUGAAUCAUUUAAUAAAGAACAAAAGUAACCCUACUAAUAUGUGUUGUUUGUGAAUCAUUUAAUAAAGAACAAAAGUAACCCUACAUUAGUAUCUGAACAUUUAACUCAUUGGUUGGUGCAUAAUCUCUUUACUUAAAAAAUAUAGUUCAAAUUUCUCUUUCUUUAAUUAUAAGAAAAAAAAAAACAAAAGUAACCCAAUACUGUUUACAUGAGGACGAUGGGGAUGUUUCUCUUCAGCAUUUCGAGCAUUUAUUACCCAAAGAUUUCUAUUGUGGAUCUCUUUUUUUUUAUCACCACUCCAUUUGCUAUUUUAUCAUUUCAAUCAUAAUCAAUUAUCUUUAAGAUUUUUCUUUUAUAUUUAUUUAAACUCAUUGUAACCAAAUAGACGAUUGGAUUACCUCAUAAAAAAUGUUCAAUGUUCACAUAAAAUAUUGGAUCCUCUUUCUAUUUAUCAUAAAUUAAGUAACGCAACAAAAGAUAAACAUAUUUCUGAAAGAAAGACAGGAUUGGAUCAACCUCUGUGUAACUAUCAACCUGUGUGCAACUGUGAAUCAAAAAACCCAAUUUAGAUGAGAUGCUUGGGGACUAGCUUGGGACAUUUUCAAGGAAAUGGCAAAGAGCCACGUGAUGCAUGUGUUCUCUGACCAUUUUCUAGCAGUGUGAUCGAAAUUAAUCCAUUACGUUUUCCUCUUAGUGCAGCAAUGGUCAAAAGAUAGUGGGAGCCCCUCCCAUUCCUGAUCAAUGUUUUGGGUUAACUGUCAGAUAUGAUGUUGUAUUUAGAAGGUUAGGAAUUUUGCUUUUUAUUUUGUUUUGGGUCAUAAAGUCUCCCACUCUUGAUCCUGAAGACUUUCAUGUAUCUCUGCAAGUACUACUGGAACCUUGCUUUUUGUUAUUCUCUUUUGUGAGAAAUUAUGAGUAAUAAUAUUUUUAUCUUUCCAAAAAAAAUUCUGAUCAGUGUGGAAGGGAGGAUAAUUUUUGCAUGGCAUGGAGAAUUUCUAACUUUUGUAUGGCAUAUGAAAUUGGGGUUCAAGACUGACAAUUGAGAGUGACUUCUCUUGGUAGUGUGAAGGAGGCCAGCUCAAUUUCAAGCAAAUACGCCAAAAAAAUUUUCUCCUCAUUAAUUUUUAGUCGGUCGUCAAGUGUGUUGCACAUUCAAUCUGUCCAUAUGUAUAAGUCCAUGACUCGAAUAAUUGUUGAAUUCAAUUUUUCAUAGGUGUAAGGAGAAAUCAAGAUAUCAAGAUGACUAGAUAAAUGGUAUAUAUUUAAUAAAAGUGAUUGGUUUUUUGCAUAUUUUCAAACAAUCAAUUAAUGUCUUCAUAAGUUUUUUAGUUAGAUGUCUAACUUUUGCAUGACAUAUGCAAUGGAAUUAAUUUCCAAGACUUUACAACAUGAUAGUGACUCCUCUUGGUAGUGUUAAGACCUACUUAAUUACUACCACAAAUUUCUCCUAAAAUUUCGUCCUAUUUAUCAAUAACAAGUCGACCGUCAUGUGUGUUGCACAUUGAAUUUGCUAUAUAUAUAUAUAUACACACACACACACACACACACACAUUCACGAGUAACUUAAAGAGUACUACAUUGAGUAUGAUCUUCCUCUACUUUUACCUUUUUCAUAAAGCUUUUUGGGAGUAAGGGAGGCCUUAUUAACUUAGUCUUGCAUAAAUGUGCAACAAAAGCUUGAAAUUUUUUUUUUUUUACUGAUUAUCUGAAUUUAACCCCAGAUUUUUUUUUUCAUUAGCUCAAGUUAAGAAAAGAUUUUAUUAAACUCGUGAAGAUUACAAAGAGGGCUAUCUAAAGAAACAUAUAGCAAAACGCAAGAAACAGAAUAGAAAAGCCUCGAUUAAAACAUCCUUACCCUGACUUUGCUGAGAGAUGAAAACCCCAACACAAGAUCAUAAACAAAAUAACAGGAAAGCAAUAACAUCAAACUAACAUUAGGGCAAUAGGAUGUGUUGCAAUAACAACAAAACUUAUUUAGUAUAAUGAUGCCCUAAACUUCACUUAGGUUGAGAUGCUAUUAGGAUUUCCCUUGCCAAAAAGUCCAACUUCACCACUUGGAUAGAGCAAAAUGUAUGGUUCAUUGACAGAACCAACACGAUUCUUCAGUUUCUUGUCCUUGUUCAUCCUUAUGAUUUCUUCUUCAAUUUGAGCAAGUCUCUUAUGAAAAGCCUCAAAAGCUACUACUGGUAUUGAGUCUGUUGUCCAGUUCGGGGUUUGUUGUCCAAGAUACACCUUAUUGGGAGGUGGGCCUACCUUUUAAAAUAAAUAUUCUACUCCUUUUUGAUCAAAAAAGCUUGUCUUACAAAUCCUCAUUCAUGUAUACAAUGAUUUCUUCACUCUUGUUGUCAGGGAGCGACUACUAAAGUCGUUCAUAAAGAAUUAUAUGUUUCAAAACCCUUUGACCUUUGAUGGUGUCUCAAGAAUGAAGAGAAAAAAAGAGAAAAGAGUUUUUUAUUUUUCUAAUUUACAAACAACUCACGUUCACUCUUGGUUGUGUGUAAAAAACUAAUACAUCUGUUCACUAUUUAUAUACGUGUUAGGGAUAUAGUGAUAGGAUAUUACUUUUAAAUUUAAAAAAAUUAAAUUUAAAUGUAAUUAAUCUUAAUUUAAAUUUAAACAAAUUAAAUUUAAAUAUAAUGGAUAGAUAAUUCUUAUUUAAAUUUAAACAAAUUAAAUUUAUAUUUAUAUCCUAUCUCAACUGUUUUUUUUUACUUAUUCAAUUAUAUUAAAUAAAUCAUGAUCAAAAUAUGCUUUCAAAAUAUACACAAUUAAAAAGAUAAAAGCAAGUCAAAAGUUGUUUUGAUACCACUAUUAAGAGGUGAGCCUACCUUUUCAGAUAAAUAUUUCACUCCCUUUUUGAUCGAAAGAAGUUUGCCUUACAAUCUUCCUUCGUAUAUACAGUGAUCUCUUUGCUCUCAUUGUUAUGGAGCAUCUACAAUUAAGAUGAUGAAAGCAAGUCAAUACCUACUUUGAUGACAUUGUUGGGAGGUGGGCUUACUUUUUUAAAUAAAUAUUCCUCUCACUUUCUCAUAGAAACAACUUGCCUUACAAAUCCUCCUCCAUACACAAAAUGAUCUCUUUGCUCUCAUUAUUAUAGAGCGGAUACUAGAGUCCUCCAUAAGAAAUUAUACGUUUCAAAACCUUUUGGCUUUUAAUGGUGCCUUAAGAAUGAAGAGAAAAAAGAGUAGUUUUUUUAAUUUACACAACAAGUUCACUAUUAGUUGUGUAAAAAACCAAUACAUCUAUUCACUAUUUAUAGACGUGUUAGGAAUAUGAAAAUAAGAUAUUAUUUUUAAAUUUAAACAAAUUAAAUUUAAAUAUAAUAGAUAGAUAAUUUUAAUUUUAAUUUAAAUAAAUUAAAUUUAAAAUUAUAUUCUAUCUCAAAAUUUUUUAAUUAUUUAAUUAAAAAAUAUCAAAAUAAUAUUUAAAAUUAAUUAAUUGAAUAUUUAUUAACUAUUCACAAAUAAUAUACAAAGUUACAUGAUAUGUGCACGUAGUACAUUUAAAUGCUACACCCCUCAUCUGAUGCGUGCCUUGACAGAACUUCUACCACGGACAUGCUAAUGAAGGUUUGUAGCUGUGAAGUAAUUGUUCUGAAGAAAGCUUUCUAUCAACUGCAGUCGAAUUGAAGUCGUUGAAGUCCAAAACAUUCCUCCUCGUUAAAACAACAGUGCCUCUGAUCUUCUCGGGUUUCUUCUGCCCGGUAAGAUCAUCGACAACAUUGCUAGCAGCAUUGAUCACUCCUCCGAUGAACAUAUCUUUUUUAUUUUCCUUUGCUAGAGAGAAAACGAGGAAUGCUAUACCUGGUGUUGGAUUUCAAUGUGCCAAGAUGAGAGAAAUGUUUGGGUAUAUACUUAUAGAUCUCCAAUAAAAGAAUCUUAAAGCAUUCGUAAUCUAUGCUUUAGGUAUGCCAUGUAUACAACCGCAUGCAACCAAUGAUGAACACAUUUGUGGCAUUUCCUUUGGUUUUGUUCUUCUUUUGUCAGUUAAAACUUCGUAUCCUGAGCCCCAUGCAUGUUGUGAUUAACUAAAAUAAGGACACGAUAGCUUCAUUUAUAGAGAGGUUAAUCACCUCAGGACACAGACACUAUUUUUGUUAUCUUUUGCCCAAAACGAAGAAUUGCGCAAAUCCUGGAAGAGGAAAAAGGGCCUUGAUCGUGAUGCAUCAUGCAUGUGCAUUGCGACUCUUCGUUAUGGAAAUUAAGCCACAUUAGUUUUCUGCUAGGAUGACUAGGAUGAUCAGUAUAUGAAUCAGUGAUCUAUCUCUUUCUUCCAAUUUUCUGCUUUGCUUUUUUAUAGUUUAUGAAGCAGUAAAUGUAAUAUAUAUUAUAUUGUCAUAUGUAGCGAAUAUUAAUGGUAAAGAAUGAUUAGAAUAAAACAUAGCUAGGGUGCAUGGGAAUCGAUUUUUGUAACAAAAGACUAGCCCAAGUUGUUAAUAGUGAAUGAUUUAGAUCGUAUUAUAGUAUUUAAUAACUUUUAAAGACUAAAUCACAUGAUUUUCAAAAAUUUAAACCGAAGUUGCUAGUACUAAGUGAGUAUUUGUUUAUGUUUUGAGAGAAAAAUCAAUUAGCUUUGCAUAUAUACAUGGUUGUCAAUCCCGUUGAAUUGAAAUCAAUUUGCUUUGUGAUUUUGGAAUGAGAUCUGAUGAUAAGAGCAACAAGCAUAAAAGAUAAUAAUACGAUCCCAAACACAGGUACCUCACAUUUUUUUCAUUGGCUGAGCCAAGAAAAGAUUUUAUUGAACUAAAGACGAUUAAAGAGAGGGCAUCCCUGGAGCCAAACACAAGAAAUAAAACAGAGGAGGCUCAGCUGAAGCUACACUUAUUUAGUAUACAAUGAUGCCCUUAACUUCACUUAGAUCGAGAUGCUAUUAGGAAUUCCCUUGCCACAGAUUCCAACUUCACCAGUUGGGUAGAGCAAAGUGUAUGGCACAUUGACAGGACCAACACGAUUCUUCAAUUUCUUGUCCUUGUUCAUCCUUAUGAUUUCUUCUUCAAUUUCAGCAAGUCUCUUAUGGAAAGCCUCAAAAGCUGCCAAUGGUAUUGCAUCUGCCGUCCAGUUAGGGGAGGCUCGUUGACCAAGAUACACCUCAUCUGAUGCGUGCUUUGACAGAACUUCUACCACAGACAUGCCAAUGAAGGUUUGUAGCUGCGAAGUAAUUGUUCUGAAGAAAACCUUCUCGGGGUUUUUCUCAAGUUCAGCAUAUUCAGGAGUGCCUUUCUCAGGCAUGAG